GGAGUUCCGGUUUGCCUCAAACGCAAUCUGGAUGCUAACGGCAGCGCUUCGGUGCUGACUUCUAUUUUAUCCUUCUGGUCAGUACACGGUGAAAACAUACCAAAACUACUCUGUAAGAUGUUUACUUCUUAUUUGACCUGUAUACAGCUCUGUGUUAGGGUUUUGUGCACCGUUUUACCAUUAGUUGCCAGUUUUAUCAAGCGAGGGUAAAGUUGGCAGCACGUCAGCCCGCGCUGGGAAAGACCCGCGAGAACUGUGGUCAAAUCUGCUGAAGGAGUCUGGCACAUCCGCACAGCCAGUGUAUCAGCACUGCAUGGAAGGAGAGCUUCAGGGAAGGAUGCCCCUCUAAACUCAACACUUCUCUAACCCUGACAUUUAGCAGCCCGACAUGAAAACUGGUUGAACAGCAGCAAUAUCAGUCAUGGCGACAACAUUCUGCACCUCAGCAAAGGCAAUCCACACUCAGAUGGGAUGUGCAAACCCCUUCAAUGCCUCCAUGCUGCUCUUCCCCCCCUCCACUCCGCCAUCCAUCCCCUUGUAUUGGCAGACUGGGAAGCAGAUGAUCAUCCUUUGAACCCAUUACUCAGCCUGAUCCUCUUAUCAUAACCAACCUUCCUGAGUCUCUAAUUUGGGGUCUGCCAAACUCCGCUCUGUGCACAAUGUGGCUUUCGUUUCUCUCCCGUUGAGCCCUUCUUCUUCUUCUUCUUCUUUUUUCUACCUCAUCAAUAUGUGUGUGAGGGAAGUGAGUCAAAGGAGAGCGAACAGGGAUCCUCUGCACACAUUUGCGCACCUAUCUCAGGGGAUAUUCCAGCACUCUGAAAUAAGUCAAACAUGUGGGUGGGUCAGUAUUCUGGGAACACAAAAGCUUCAUCUUCAGCUACCUGCUACUCACCUUUCCAAGGAAUCGCUCAUUUUCCCUCCCUGGCUCUGUGUCCUGUAAAUAUCACAUUCCUCCCCUAUGGCAUAUAGCACAUGUUCGGUGCAUUCCUCUGUGGGGGAUGUGGUCAAUUAAAUGGGCUCGCAAUCCCACCCAGUGUGGGGAAUACACCACAAUGUCUUAUUGUUUUAAAUGGAAGUAUAUCAAACGUUGGGAGUGAAACAAUGGGAGAAAAAAAUCCUUCCACGCCGGGUGUCAGGGGUAUACACGAUGUAAACAAAUAAAUGUCUUCAUUUGCAUCA